GAUGAACGCUGGCGGCGUGCCUAAUACAUGCAAGUCGAGCGAACGGACGAGAAGCUUGCUUCUCGGAUGUUAGCGGCGGACGGGAGAGUAACACACGGAUAACCUACCUAUAGAACAGGGAGAACUACGGGAAACCGGAGCUAAUACCGGAUAAUAUUUUGAACCGCAGGGUGCAAAAGUGAAAGACGGCCUUGCGGUCACUUAUAGAUGGAUCGGCGCUGGAUUAGCUAGUUGGUAAGGUAACGGCUUACCAAGGCAACGAUGUAUAGCCGACCUGAGAGGGUGAUCGGCCACACUGGGACUGAGACACGGCCCAGACUCCUACGGGAGGCAGCAGUGGGGAAUCUUCCGCAAUGGGCGCAAGCCUGACGCAGCCACGCCGCGUGAGUGAUGAAGGUCUUCGGAUCGUAAACCUCUGUUAUUCGGAAAGAACAUAUUUCUAAUUAACUGUGCACAUCUUGACGGUACCUUAUCAGAAAGCCCCGGCUAACUACGUG
rnacentral:rRNA from 1 species